CUCUCUCUCUCUCUCUCUCUCUCUUUCCAAAAUUAAUCAAAACUUUGGUGGUUUGAAUAUUGUCUUUGAUGGGGGGAGAGAGAGAGAGAGAG
rnacentral:miRNA from 1 species